rnacentral:lncRNA from 1 species
UCUGCCUAUAGAGGCCUGGGGUCCCUUUGGCAGCACUUUUCUCAAGAAAGUAGAGUCGUGGACAACCAACUGCACAGGUUGGGAGGCUUUGAAGAACAAGCUGCCAUGAAUCCUGCAGCUACAAGGAAAUGAACUCUAUUAACUUGAGUGAGCUUAAAACUAGAUCCUUCCCCAGUCAAGCCUCCAGGUGAGAAUUCAAUCCUGGCUGGCACCUGGAUUGCAGCUUACAGAAGACCCAGCUAAGGCCAUGUCUGGACUUUAAAUCCACAGGAACUGCAAGAUGGUAUCAGAAGUGGGACCUGCAGUGGGGCAUCUAGCAACCCCCAGGAGCAUUGAGUGACCAGGCUUGGGACCCACCGGGCGCAGGGUGUCCAUUGUUCUCUCGAAGCAACUGAGAAUUGUGGAUAUUCUUCAUUAUUCCAUCAUCAUCUCAAACCUCUUGGGUAUAGUGUUUGACUACUACUGUGACCAUAAAUUCCAAUAAAACCUAGGAAAAAUGAAACCACUACAUUAACUGAAAGGGAAGGAUUUGACAGCUUCUUUUGGGCAUAUCAGAAUCGCCAGCAUCACUACUCUUGCACUGUGCGGCCAUUAUUAAGUGAAAUAAGGAUUACUUGAACACAAGCACUGCAAUGCCGCUACAGUCAAUGUGAUAACCCAGCUGGUGACUAAGUGACCAAGGACGGGGAGUAUCUACAGCGGGGAGACUCUGGAAAAAGGGAGGAUUCACAUCCAGUGCCACUGGGGCAGGGCAGAAUGAGAGUUCAUCAUGCUACAAAGAAUGGCACAGAAUAUACGACUUGUGAGUGGAUUAUCUCUGGAAUUUUCUGUUGACUACAUUUGUACUACAGUUGUAUGUGGGUAACAAACUGUGGAAAGUGAAACUUCGGGUAAGGGGGAGGCUACCGUAGAUAGCCCAGUAUUUCUUAUUUUGUGGAUUUGUUUAUCUUUCUGCUCACAUCCUUUUCCUUCUGCAUUACCAUUUUAGUAAAAAUAGAUAGCAUCCA